CCUACGGGUGGCAGCAGUGAGGAAUAUUGGUCAAUGGACGAGAGUCUGAACCAGCCAAGUAGCGUGAAGGAUGACUGUCCUAUGGUUUGUAAACUUCUUUUAUAAAGGAAUAAAACGAGGCACGUGUGCCUUUUUGCAUGUACUUUAUGAAUACGGAUCGGCUAACUCCGUGCCAGCAGCCGAGGUAAUACGGAGGUUCCUAGCGUUAUCCGGAUUUCUUGGGUUUAAAGGGAGCGUAGAUGGGUUGUUAAGUCAGUUGUGAAAGUUUGCGGCUCAAACGGAAAAUUGCAGUUGAUACUGGUAGCCUUGAGUACAGUUGAGGUAGGCGGAAUUCGUGGUGUAGCGGUGAAAUGCUUAGAUAUCACGAAGAACACCGAUUGCGAAGGCAGCUUACUAAGCUGCAACUGACAUUGAGGCUCGAAAGUGUGGGUAUCAAACAGGAUUAGAUACCCCUGUAGUC
rnacentral:rRNA from 1 species